GUUCAGUUCCAAGGGUAAGGAAGGCGAGGCAAUAAAGAUUGCUGCAAAAGCUCAAAUCCAUCACACUCUGAAAGUUGUGGCGUGUAUGGUAGCUGUGCCCUUUGCUCUGGCAGAGUUAAGGCAGAGCACUCAUUCAUCACUCACUGAGAGCAAUUUCAUUCUGGGAAACAGCCAGGGGAGUGGUGAAUCAGGCAGAACACAAGAGUGUCACUCAGGCAACAAAGAGAUGGAAAAAACAGGGCAGGUUUGAAAAAUGAGGGAGGUUUUGCACGUCACAAGUUUAUGGUCAUCAAAGUCUUCCAGGAAAGGCCAGGAAUAAAAUUGCUUCGUGCACACUUUCAAAUUGGCAGUGUUAUGUCUGAACUUGAGCUCAGGACUCCCUUCAAAUUCAAGAGAUAGAAGAGAAUACCAGUAAAGUGCAAUUCACUUGCCUAAUGUUAGAGGUGUGUUUCAGUUUGGGGUAACCCAUACACAGAAAUGCCUGUUGCUCUCCCUUAACUCUAGCUCAUCUGCUGAAUGCCUACAUCACAUGUGUCUAAAGGCCAAUUAAUAAAUUGCACCAGGUAUUUCUAAAGAAGAACACCAGCUACCAAGUCACCAUAUGAUCUGUGUAAUCAUAUGUAAGCUCUGUGCAGGCGUUACUUGGUGACAUCCUUCAUAAAAGCAGUGGUACCAUCCCCCUCUUUUGACACAUGGGAUAAAAAUGUGCAUUUAUUUGAAUGUGUAGCAACUACAUUUUUUUAAAAUUCAUUUUGGUAAUUGUAACACAUGUCUCUCAUGUGCCAAUAAGCCACUGCUUUCUAUUGAGUCAAGCCUGCACACAAGAAGAGGUGCUGGUGUGUUUGUCUCAACCUCUCUUAAACAUUCACUGGUUCAAGCUUCUUCUGUAAUGAGGAGGCAGAAGUGCAUCUCCCUGAUUUGUGCCAGCAGUCAUGAGCAAAUAACCCAACUCACCACUUCAUAAAGAGACAACAGACACCUUGCCUGUGUGUUUGCCCUUGUGUCCUCCCCAGCAGCAUCCCUGCACCGUGGCCCCCACCAUCCUCCCACCAAAGCCAGAUUUUGCCCCUGUCCAGAGUGGGAUCGAGCUCAGGCCCUAAGCAACCUGUGUUACUGCAAAUGCUCAGUGGAUUUAUUUAUGCCUGUGGCACAAAUACUUCAUUCUCUCUGCAGGACACGUAACGCCUCUGGAAUUCAGGGAGAGGAGACACAGGCACAGGCAGUCUCCGGCACAGCCAGGCACUCGUGCAGGUGGGGAAAAGAGACUUCUGCAAGAAGGAUGUGUCUUGGGUUGCAAUGCAAGCUGUAACCAGAAGUAUGUAUUCUAUUAUCAUCUGUUAAAACCAGGUGGGGCUGUGUUCUUUGUCUCUUCCACAACCCAUCCUCCCUCCAGGGGGAUAUCUUCUGUUAAUGGGCCAUUGAGUCUCACUGCAUGACUGAUAAAUUCCAUCAUCCCAUUGUCAGAUGCUCCACCCAGGGGGAGGAGCCAAGCAUUCCUACCUGGAUAUAAUCUGAGACUUGGAACACCUUUCAGUCAGCCUUUCUCCACUGGAUUUCCAGAGGAAGACUGGGCCCAUGGAUCCACCACCACUGGAUCUUCAGAGGAAAACGACACCCUUCUAGAGGAUCACGGCUUCAACAGAACCACAUCUGUCACUCCAGCAGCCACCAUUUAAUCAGACUGCUACCAACAGCCUGACCAACAGGGUGUCAGGUUGUAUUCUGACUCUGUCAGUGGAUUUUUUUGUACUACUGCAUUUUUAUUUUAAUUUUCCUAUAUAGACAUAUAGAACUGUUAUUCCUAUUCCCAUAUCUUUACCUGAGAGCCCCCUGAUUUCAAGAUUAUAAUAAUUUGGAGCAGGGAAUGUGGUUUACAUUUUUCCUUUUCAAGGAAAGUUCCUGCCUUCCUUAGCAGACACCUGUCUUUUCAAACCAUGACAUCAAGACAGAUGUCAUGAGGGAAGUGGGAAGUCACUUUGCCCAAAUUGUGUUACGCUUCAUUUUUGUGUCUGUGCCGUCCCUGUUUUGUUUCACACACCUGGCCCCUAUGGCCAUAGAGGCCAUGGGAAAGAGAACAUCCAAAAGAAAGCAGCAACAGGAAAAAUAGAUGCCAAAAGCAUGAGUGGCCCCAGAGGAAAACUGAGGAUAAGGAUAUGUCAUUGCCCUGAAAAGAAAUAAAUAC
ensembl:lncRNA